AAGCUGCUGUUAGCUGAAUGAAGUGACUGAAGGCAAAAGACGCUUUUCCAAAAAUAGAAAGCUACUCUGUUGAAUACAUCAGAGUAUGAAUCUGUGACAUGGUUUCUUCACAUGCUAAAAGACUGGAUUGGUUUUGGUUACAUGGAGGACUUUGUGAACUCUGUACUUCAGCCUCUAUUGAUAUUACUAGUAUUUUUUCUGCUUAUAUAUUAUGUACCUUCAGGUAUUGUUUUAAUUUGCUAUGCAUGCACAUCUUGUUUAUAUAUUUGGAAGAAAAAAUAUAACAUAAAAGGAAAUGUCUACAAUGAAUUAUGGAACAAACCAAAGCAAAGGAUAGCAAAUUUGGUGACUUUAUGUGGAAAGAUGGGAUGGCAUGGUGAUG